UCCACGUGUGUGUGCCCAUGCAGCUUCUUAAGCACUCUCUGAAUUUCUCUAAAUGGCUCCUGCUUUAGUCCAGAAAUGCCACAGUUGCGAUCCCGUUCUCUUUGGUGGCACAAAUCGCAUUGCAGCACGUAUAGCAUGCAUAUUCAAUGCAACACUGGCCCAGCACAAUGAGGCUCCAUGGACUUGUAGUCAGAACUGCUUCUCUGAGGCGUGGCCAUAUCAGGCUGCUCUUUGGCGAUCUGACAUUCCUAAGCAAAGAGGAAGGAACUAGAAGGCACCCUGCCGUGAUUCCGUGCUGUGAUCCAGCUGUGCAGGGAGGCACAGUGACCUUCCAAUCUCCUCAUUCUUCCUCCCGAGAGGUAAAAAGCAAAGCAGACGGUGUCGUGUAAGAAACUGCCCACCACAUCAACAGCGUGCAGCACUGUUUCUCCUUUUCCUUCCUUCAAAACAGUUCCACUGAAACAGACCUACAAGGAACAACCCUUCAUUUCCUCUGUACUUCAUUUUGCAGACAGCAUGGGGCUGGGUGCAGUAGGAAGACAGUGCACAUCAUGUCUGCAGCUGCUUUGAGAUUCCACCUUUACCGAGCCACCACCAUUCCCCAGGAGAGGCUGGAAUUAGCACAGGCUAGACCACAUUACUGCCUGGCAAGGCAAUGACCCUGCUUCUGGCCAGGAGGCAGGCAAAGGUGAGAAGAACUAUUUGUAUCAGUGGAUGCCUCUGCCCAUGGGGUGACAGGGUCACAUGAGGAAACAAACAACCGAACAACUUCCAAACAUUUGGAUGUGACAGGGAACCUUUGCAGGGCCCCAUCUGUGGGUGCUGGCAUCAUCUCUGGUCCACCUUCUGACUCUCUAAGGUGCCUUUCGUCAUCUUCACGUUAAAUGCCAAGUUAUA